AGAGUUUGAUCCUGGCUCAGGACGAACGCUAGCGGCGUGCCUAAUACAUGCAAGUCGAACGCUUCUUUUCUACCGAGUGCUUGCACUCACUUGAAAAGAGGAGUGGCGGACGGGUGAGUAACACGUGGGUAACCUACCCAUCAGAGGGGGAUAACACUUGGAAACAGGUGCUAAUACCGCAUAAUAGUCGACAUCGCAUGGUGUUGAUUUGAAAGACGCUUUCGGGUGUCACUGAUGGAUGGACCCGCGGUGCAUUAGCUAGUUGGUGAGGUAACGGCUCACCAAGGCCAUGAUGCAUAGCCGACCUGAGAGGGUGAUCGGCCACACUGGGACUGAGACACGGCCCAGACUCCUACGGGAGGCAGCAGUAGGGAAUCUUCGGCAAUGGACGAAAGUCUGACCGAGCAACGCCGCGUGAGUGAAGAAGGUUUUCGGAUCGUAAAACUCUGUUGUUAGAGAAGAACAAGUAGGAGAGUAACUGCUCUUACCUUGACGGUAUCUAACCAGAAAGCCACGGCUAACUACGUGCCAGCAGCCGCGGUAAUACGUAGGUGGCAAGCGUUGUCCGGAUUUAUUGGGCGUAAAGCGAGCGCACGCGGUUUCUUAAGUCUGAUGUGAAAGCCCCCGGCUCAACCGGGGAGGGUCAUUGGAAACUGGGAGACUUGAGUGCAGAAGAGGAGAGUGGAAUUCCAUGUGUAGCGGUGAAAUGCGUAGAUAUAUGGAGGAACACCAGUGGCGAACGCGACUCUCUGGUCUGUAACUGACGCUGAGCUCGAAAGCGUGGGGAGCAAACAGAUUAGAUACCCUGGUAGUCACGUCGUAAACGAUGAGUG
rnacentral:rRNA from 1 species